rnacentral:piRNA from 1 species
UNCCAUUAGCACUUCAGGAAUGCCAUAA